rnacentral:rRNA from 1 species
UACAGAGGUCCCGAGCGUUGUUCGGAUUCAUUGGGCGUAAAGGGUGCGUAGGUGGUCGGGUAAGUCUGAUGUGAAAUCUCCGGGCCUAACCCGGAAACUGCAUCGGAUACUAUUCGGCUAGAGGGUUGGAGGGGGGACUGGAAUACUUGGUGUAGCAGUGAAAUGCGUAGAUAUCAAGUGGAACACCAGUGGCGAAGGCGAGUCCCUGGACAACUCCUGACACUGAGGCACGAAAGCUAGGGGAGCAAACAGG